GCGAAAGCAAGUCUGAAUAGGGCAUAUGUCACUUUUUAUGGACCCGAACCCGAGUGAUCUAACCAUGGCCAGGAUGAAUCUUGGGUAACACCAAGUGGAGGUCCGAACCGACUGAUGUUGAAAAAUCAGCGGAUGAGUUGUGGUUAGGGGUGAAAUUCCAGUCGAACUCGGAGCUAGCUGGAUCUCCUCGAAAUGUGUUGAGGCGCAGCGGUUGAUGAUGGGUUAUUUAGGGGUAAAGCACUGUUUCGGUGCGGGCUGCGAAAGCGGUACUAAAUCGUGGCAAACUAAGAAUACUAAAUACAUUUUCCAUCAACCAGUAAGACAGUGGGGGAUAAGCUUCAUUGUCAAAAGGGAAACAGCCCAGACCACCAGCUAAGGCCCCAAAGUGGUUGCUAAGUGAUAAAGGAAGUGACAAUGCAAAGACAACCAGAAGGUUUGCUUAGAAGCAGCCAUCCUUGAAAGAGUGCGUAAUAGCUCACUGGUAGAGCAUUGUUGCGCCGAAAAUGAACGGGGCUAAGUAAUCCGCCGAAGCUGUGGUUGUGCAUUAUUAAAAUAAUGUACGAGGUAGAGGAGCGUUCCGUUUUAGGGUGAAGCUAAAACGUAAGUUUUAGUGGACAACGCGGAAGUGAGAAUGUCGGCUUGAGUAACGAAAACAUUGGUGAGAAUCCAAUGCCCCGAAAACCUAAGGGUUCCUCCACAAGGCUCGUCCAUGGGGGGUUAGUCAAGACCUAAGAUGAGGCCGAAAGGCGUAGUCGAUGGCAAACAGGUUAAUAUUCCUGUACUUGUUAGUAUUUGGUAAAGAAGGACGAAAAAGGCGGUAGUUGGCUAGAUAUCGGUAUUCUAGUAGAAAUGUCCAACUUGUUGAAAGGUUGAAAAAAAACUUCCUUGAGAGAAGGCAUGAUAUGACUUUUUAGUAAAUUUAUUUACUGAUUUGUUCAGCUUUAGUCAUAUUUCCAAGAAAAGCUCUUAUUACUAUACAAUGCUAAUAACUUGUACCCAAAACCGACACAGGUAGGUAGGUAGAGAAUACUAAGGGGCGCGAGAUAACUCUCUCUAAGGAACUCGGCAAAAUGGCCCCGUAACUUCGGAAGAAGGGGUGGUGGUUACGACGAAUGUCGUGAUAACCCGCAGUGACCAGGCCCAGGCGACUGUUUAUCAAAAACACAGGUCUCCGCAAAGUCGCAAGACAACGUAUGGGGGCUGACGCCUGCCCAGUGCCGGAAGGUAAAAGAAGUUGGUUACAACCCUUUGAGGUAGGAAGCUGACGACUGAAGCCCCGGUGAACGGCGGCUGUAACUCUGACAGUGCCUAAGGUAGCGAAAUUCCUUGCCAAGUAAGUUUUGGCCCGCACGAAAGGCGUAACGAUCUGGGCACUGUCUCGGAGAGAGACUCGGUGAAAUAGAAGUGUCUGUGAAGAUGCGGACUACUUAUACCAGGACAGAAAGACCCUAUGAAGCUUGACUGUAGUUUGGAAUUGGGUUCGGGCUUUUUUUGCGCAGUCUAGGUGGGAGGCGAUGAAAAUAAGUUUUCGGAUUUAUUUGAGCCAUCAGUGAGAGACCACUCUGGAAGAGCUAGAAUCCUAAUAGCAAUCCUUGAAUCCGGAUGCUUGACAGUUUCAGACGGACAGUUUGUUUGGGGCGAAUUUCUCCUAAAAAGUAACGGAGAAGUGCAAAGGUUUUCUCAAGCUGGACGGAAAUCAGCUGUAGAGUGUAAAGGUAGAAGAGAGCUUGACUGCAAGACCAACAAGUCGAGCAGGGGCGAAAGCCGGCCUUAGUGAUCCGACGGUACCGUGUGGAAGGGCCGUCGCUCAACGGAUAAAAGUUACUCUAGGGAUAACAGGCUGAUCUCCCCCAAGAGUUCACAUCGACGGGGAGGUUUGGCACCUCGAUGUCGGCUCAUCGCAACCUGGGGCUGUAGUCGGUCCCAAGGGUUGGGCUGUUCGCCCA
rnacentral:rRNA from 1 species